CAAAUUAGAGCUUGUGAAAGUAUUUCAUUUACAUUGAAAAGAAAUUAAAAAAUUAAUUGAUUUGA
rnacentral:tRNA from 1 species